rnacentral:rRNA from 1 species
GACGAACGCUGGCGGCGUGCCUAACACAUGCAAGUCGAGCGGGGUUGAAGCGAGGGGUAACUCGAACUUCUACCUAGCGGCGGACGGGUGAGUAACGCGUGGGCAACCUGCCUCAAGGUCUGGGAUAACAGCUCGAAAGGGCUGCUAAUACCGGAUAUGCCUAUAGCCUCGCAUGGGGCUAUGAGCAAAGGGGAAACCCGCCUUGAGAUGGGCCCGCGUCCCAUCAGCUAGUUGGUGAGGUGAAGGCUCACCAAGGCGACGACGGGUAGCCGGCCUGAGAGGGUGACCGGCCACACUGGGACUGAGACACGGCCCAGACUCCUACGGGGGCAGCAGUGGGGAAUCUUGCACAAUGGGCGAAAGCCUGAUGCAGCGACGCCGCGUGAGCGAAGAAGGCCUUGGGUUGUAAAGCUCUGUCUGGAGGGACGAAGAAAGUGACGGUACCUCCGGAGGAAGCCACGGCUAACUACGUCGCCAGCAGCCGACGGUAAAUCACGUCGUACU